CCUGUUCGACAAUUUCACUUGUGGUCACCUUAGCAAGUGGGAUGGAAUAUUAUGGUUUGGAAAUAUAAUCCAUUCCCUGACAUGAUGGAUGAUGGUAAUGACGAUGGUGAUGAUGAUAAAUAUAUUAGCAGCUAAAAUGUAUCGAUUGCUUAUAUUUUGCUAGGUGCCUUAUGUACAUUAUUGGGUUUAAUUCUUCUGUAGCCCCUUCAGUUAUAUACUAUUAUCUCCACAUACUGAGUUGAAUAGUAUGCCUCCAAAAUUCAUGUCCACCUAGAACCUCAAAAUGUGACCUGAUUUGGAAACAGGAUCUUCACAGAUGUAAUUAGUUGAGAUGAGGUCAUAUGGGAUUGGAAUGGGCUCUACAUCGAAUGACUGGUGUCCUUAUAGGAAGGCCACUUGAAGACACAGGGACCUUCAGGAAGAAUGACAAAAUGACAGGUGAUGAUGGAGACAGAGACUGGAGUGAGGCAGCUGCAAGCCAAGGAAUUCUGAAGGUGGCCAGCAACCACCAGAACCUAGGGAGAGGCGAGGUGGCCAUUCGUUCCUAGAGUCUUCAGAAGGCACGUGGCCCUGCAGGCAGCUGGAUUUUGGACAUCUAGUCUCUAGAGCUCUCAGGGAGAUGAAAGAAUUUGCCUAAACUCAGCUAGUUAGUGG
rnacentral:lncRNA from 1 species